CCAAGUACUGGGAUUACAGGCAUGUGCUACCAUGCCUAACUUCAUAAAACCAUGAUGUAAUGCUGUAAUAUCAAUUAAGAGUAACUAUAAUUUUUUGUCUUCUAGAUUGUGUGUGUACCCUACCAGUGGCGUAUAUAUAUGCUUAUCAUUGUUCUUAUCAAUGCCUUCGUGUCUAUCAUGGUCGAGAGCUUCUUCCUUGACACGGUCCUUUGGAAAGUUGUGUUCAGUCGAGACAGACAAGGAGAGUGUCGUGUCACCACCACACAGCCGCCACAGGAGUCAGUGGAUCGAUGGGGGAAAUGCUGCUUGUCCUGGGCCCUGAGCUGUAGAAAGAAGACACCAAAGGCAAAAUACAUGUACCUGGCCCAGGAGCUCUCAGUUGAUCCUGAAUGGCCACCUAAGCCUCAGACAACGACGGAAGCCAAAACUGUAGUCAAGGAGAACGGAUCAUGUCAGAUCAGCACCAUCACAUAGCAGAGGCCAUCUGCUGUGCUAGUGACAGUAUUCAGGAGGAUGUGCUUGGCUCUUCUGACUGACGCUGGGUGUCCGAAUGGCACUGUUCCAGUUGAUAGCCCUCUCAUAAUACAGUAGUUGAUUAAAAAACAAAAGCAGUAAAAUGGCAUUUGCCUCACAGUUAUUAACUAUCAGUCUGGCUAGAUCUUCAUGCAGUAACGUAAUGUGAUAUACACUUUAUAUUGGGUGUGAGAGAACUGUGUUGGGGUUUUUAGAUUUCAGCUUUUGACACUAGUUUGCCUCUUAAAUUUAAUUUUCACAAACCCCCUUAUUAGCAAGUUUCUUCUAUAUGUAGGCCCUAAUAUUGGGAUUGUUAAAAAUAAUAUGAUUGUUAAUUGUGAUUAGCCUUUGGUGAAAAUAGGUUGAAAAUCUAUUUUGAUUCCAAUGUUUCUCCCAAAGAGUUCUGUGUUAAACAUCCACCAGUUUCCUUUGACCUGGGGUUGGAGUGGUUUGUGUUACUGUUGUGUUAGUGUUUGUGAGCAGCUCAGGUAAUUUCCACUUCUGGUUCUAUAGUCUCUGUGUAGACUGCCUGGGUGUCACUUUCUAGCCAGCAAGGUGCUUCACCGCUGUCUCGUGUCCUCGUAACCUUUGUGGGUCUGUCUCAUACUGUGUCUGACGUCGGCAGUCCAGUUUGCCUCAUCAACGAAGAACUUUUCUAGUAAAGUUUAUUUCUGAGCCAGGCAUGGUGGUGCAGGCCUGUACUCCUGCACAGGAGGCUGAGGGAGGAGGAUUGUUCUUAGUCCAAGGAUAGCCUCGAGGAGAUAGUCAAGUCCCGUCUCAGAAUCCGUGCAUGCAGAGCAGCGGUCACUUCCUUGGGUGACCUCGUGCUCUUCAUACCUGUUGUUUUUCUUUCAGGGUUUUUAUCAUUCUGCAUGCUUUUUCAUUAUCUGUUUGUUUUCUAACUUAAAGAAAUUGGAUAAUACUGUUUUGUUUUUGAGUUAGAGCUUAGCCUUGGUAUAUGUCUCUCCUUUGGAUAAUAAGGAUUAAAAGAAUAAUGAAUAUUGAGUUUGACUUUUACAAAGCAGUGUGAACUUGAGUAGAGCUUGUUUUAUGCCAUUAGGUGGCACCAGAGGUCAGCACAUACCUGUUUUGUUACAAGUGAGCUUGAGAAAAUAAAGUAUACACAUUUAUUGAGCCAAAAGAAAUGUAGAAAGCAUUUUUCACACUGGUGUUUUGUCUGAUUAAUGUUCAUUUCUCAAGGAAUAUCCACAAUGCCUUCCUAUGUAGGACCUGGCAGUUUGGCAGUGCCCACAGUUAUGGGAAGCUUGGGAAGCUGGCAUUGCUAUAAAGAUGGACCCUAAAUUAGUGAGACAAUGUGAUGUUAUUCUAUGUUGGUUCUUAACUAACCGCGUGUGUAUGCUUUCCAUUCCCAGUUGAUCAUUACUGUCCCAGUACAUACUUACCAGUUUACCACAUGUUACCCAGAUUUGUGGAACCAUUUUUUUUUCUUAUUUUUUGUGUUGCAGAGACCUGAAUGAUGUUUGAUAAUUGUAGAAAAAAAAUGUAAAUUAUUCUCAGGAUCACUGUUACUGCUAUUGCCACUGGUGAUUCUUACAAAAUACAUAAUCAAAAUUUUCCAACAAACUGUAUGAUGUUAUUAUAUGUUAGAUGACAAGAACAAUUGUCCCAUGAAUGAUUCUAUGAAGCUAUGCAUCUUAGACCUCUUGAGCUGUGAAUUAGCACUAUUUUCUAUAGUUACUUAUUCUCUGUUGUUUUAUACUGUCCAUGUUCAUUUCAAAUAAUGCUCAUAUUAUUCUUUAGUGAUUUUUAUGGGUCGUUAAGCCUUACUCUUUGGUUUAAAUGCUGAAGCAUAUAAUUGCUAACUGCAGUUUAGAAACCCAAUAUUAAUUGUAUUUAACAUCCUCAAGAGAAUGAUCAUAAAAGGCUAUUUUUGACACAUAUCCCUUUCAAUAUUUAGAGUUGAUAAGGUUUAUAUCUCAUCUCUCCAUAUUGUUUGCAAAGGAACAAGGUUUUAUGUAGGUGAGAG